GGUUCGGGCUCUUCUUGCGCAGCUUAGGUGGAAGGCGUUGAAGGAGAGCUUCCGGGUUCUCUGGAGCCACCAGUGAGAUACCACUCUGGAAGAGCUAGAAUUCUAAUCUCGACCCCUUAGCGGGGCGUGUGACAGUUUCAGGUGGGCAGUUUGACUGGGGCGGUCGCCUCCUAAAAGGUAACGGAGGCGUGCAAAGGUUCCCUCCGGCUGGACGGAAAUCAGCUGUAGAGUGUAAAGGCAGAAGGGAGCUUGACUGCGAGACCUACAAGUCGAGCAGGGACGAAAGUCGGCCUUAGUGAUCCGACGGUGCCGUGUGGAAGGGCCGUCGCUCAACGGAUAAAAGUUACUCUAGGGAUAACA
rnacentral:rRNA from 1 species